rnacentral:lncRNA from 1 species
AUGGGCCCGGCGCUGAGAGCGUACGUUGUCCGCCGUCGGUGGGCAGAGGCUGGCGGUGCCGCUCCUGCUGGCAGAAGAGCAGGCGGGCCCAGGGGACUCGCAGCUUGUCGCUGCUGCGGUCGGUGGCAGAGCCGCAGCCAGACCUUUCGAUCAGCCUCUGGAGCUGCCCUGGAGCCCUCCACCCCUCCCCCGCUCCCAGGCUCCUGCCCUGCGCAGCCCCAGACACAGCUUUUACCGGGGAGUGCGGCCUCCAGGUGCCUGGACUCUGGGCCGUCCAAGGCCAGUUCCGAGGCUGGGUCACUGCAGUGCAGGAAUGCGUCUCCCUGUGGCCGGUGUGGUGCGGACGGGGGCAGGGGGCGGUUCCUGAGGAGAACCAGAGCCUCUGGGCCGUGGGCCCCGACCGCCCUCCGCUGCAAAGCCAUCUCUGGUCCGCAGGUGAGCGGAUUUAAAGUCUGCCGCAAGGGCUUGCGAACAAAGAGAAUUCUCUUCCAAGAAUGUCUCUGUGAUGCUGUUUGGUCUCUAGAAAUAGAAUCACUUUUUUACCGCAAUAAAGAAAGAGUAAUAAUAGGUGGUCUUACACAUCGGGUGUUAAGAGUGCUGGUCUCGUGUACCCUGCGGAGGUCUGGGGGGCUGGGUGCCUCCUCCUGUCCUCUCAGCCGGCACNCCUUCGAAGCCUGCACCCGUCCCUCGGUCUCCCUGGGUUGUUUCCAGUGGGCAGUGCUCAGGAAGACCAAGGGAAGCGUCGGGAGCCUGGGUGGCUGCACAGGGGCAGGUCAAGUGGAAAGGAAGGAGAGGGGAUCGGUCCUGGAGGAGCAUUGGUCCUGGAGCCCACCGGAGGGGGUAGGCUGGGCGUGGCUGGGCUUCCCCAGAUAUGGGGGUGCAGGAGAGGUGAGGACGUGCCCGGACCAGGCCAGGAGAGUGGCCGCUGUAGUCAGGCCCCUCCAGGAGCGGGGAGGCCCGGAUGGCNGCUGCGGUCGGUGGCAGAGCCGCAGCCAGACCUUUCGAUCAGCCUCUGGAGCUGCCCUGGAGCCCUCCACCCCUCCCCCGCUCCCAGGCUCCUGCCCUGCGCAGCCCCAGACACAGCUUUUACCGGGGAGUGCGGCCUCCAGGUGCCUGGACUCUGGGCCGUCCAAGGCCAGUUCCGAGGCUGGGUCACUGCAGUGCAGGAAUGCGUCUCCCUGUGGCCGGUGUGGUGCGGACGGGGGCAGGGGGCGGUUCCUGAGGAGAACCAGAGCCUCUGGGCCGUGGGCCCCGACCGCCCUCCGCUGCAAAGCCAUCUCUGGUCCGCAGGUGAGCGGAUUUAAAGUCUGCCGCAAGGGCUUGCGAACAAAGAGAAUUCUCUUCCAAGAAUGUCUCUGUGAUGCUGUUUGGUCUCUAGAAAUAGAAUCACUUUUUUACCGCAAUAAAGAAAGAGUAAUAAUAGGUGGUCUUACACAUCGGGUGUUAAGAGUGCUGGUCUCGUGUACCCUGCGGAGGUCUGGGGGGCUGGGUGCCUCCUCCUGUCCUCUCAGCCGGCACCAGCUCACCAGGCCGGGGAGCGGCAGAGCUGGGGUGCAAGCCGCAGCCUUCUGA